rnacentral:tRNA from 1 species
GACGCGCGAGCGCUGGAUGAUGUCGCCGUAGCGGUUGUAGAUCGUCACGAUCUGGACGCCGCCGGGACGCACGAUCGUCUCGCGCACGCGCCC